UUCCAGACUCCUACGGGAGGCAGCAGUGAGGAAUAUUGGUCAAUGGGCGAGAGCCUGAACCAGCCAAGUCGCGUGAGGGAGUACUGCCCUAUGGGUUGUAAACCUCUUUUGUCGGGGAGCAAAAGCCGGACGUGUCCGGCUGUGAGAGUACCCGAAGAAAAAGCAUCGGCUAACUCCGUGCCAGCAGCCGCGGUAAUACGGAGGAUCCGAGCGUUAUCCGGAUUUAUUGGGUUUAAAGGGAGCGUAGAUGGGUUGUUAAGUCAGUUGUGAAAGUUUGCGGCUCAACCGUAAAAUUGCAAUUGAUACUGGCAGCCUUGAGUACAGUUGAGGUAGGCGGAAUUCGUGGUGUAGCGGUGAAAUGCUUAGAUAUCACGAAGAACUCCGAUUGCGAAGGCAGCCUACUAAACUGCCACUGACAUUGAUGCUCGAAAGUGUGGGUAUCAAACAGGAUUAGAUACCCCAGUACC
rnacentral:rRNA from 1 species